UAAAUAUUUAGACUUGGUAAUAUAGUUGUACACAAAGUACAAUUAAUAAGUACCAAUUACUCUUUCUUACUAUAGACAAAUGUUUUAAGUGAUUUUUUUUAAAAAAUGACAUCUUUAAAAUUAGCAAUAUCUAUCCAUGGAAAACAUGCUGAGGAGUUUCACACUUAUUUACACUUAUAGAUUCACACUUAUUUAGAAUAAUUAUGCACUCAUCUAACACUCUUCCUUGUGGUCACCACACUCCUCUUUAGUGCCUGAGUUCAUCCAUGGCAUCACAUCAGAAAUAUAGACCUUCAAAACUGUCACUGUGAGCACUGUGAAUGUAGGAAGACAGUUUAGUCAUGUACUAAAUUUUUUCCAUGUUACUACCUAUCCUUCAUAUUUAUCAACUUGUAGCUGCUUAAUCCAUUGAGAAGAUUUUCUAACCACUUCUUCACUUUUGAAUGGGUUUUUAUCACCAAUUUUGAACUAUUUCCUUAAGAUAGUCUGUGAAGUGGGAUGGCCAUCAAAUAACAUGAAUACUUCUAUGACUCUUUAUGCUUUCCAGCCAUCAGUAGUGUGUAUACUGGUUUCACUAUGGUCUUGACUGGUAUUGGUAUUAUUUUUAAAAAUAAACAGAGCAGUUUUCUUUUUAUUUUUAUCCAUACAGUGUGUCUAAAAUGGCACCCCAUUGUUUUCUUCCUCUCAUUUUUGGAGCCAAGGGAAGUGAUGUGCACUGUGGCCCCUCUAUCCAAUUUUUAUUUGAUAGCACACUUACAGAUGUGUAAUGACAAGUUGAAAUAGGACUCAAGUGACAGGGAGAGGCAGCAUAAACCACAGCCUACCAAUAAAGGGGACUAGAAGAGUAACCUUGUACUUAUAGAGGUAAAUGAAUUCCAGUUAAGGUUGGAGGACUUGCCCAAAAUCCCAGCUGGUUUUAAUUGAACUAGUUUGACAGCUGCUCUUUUAUUUGCAUCAUUGUUUUGUUUUAGAUAUUAACAAAUGAGCUAAGGUUUUAAGAAAAUUAAUUGAAAUAAUGUAUUUCUAUUUUGAUAUAAGAGACAUAAAAUCACAAUAAGCAAUUGGGCUUCCUUUGUCUUAAAACCUAAUGCUGUCUUGUAUUAUAAUGAUGGAGUUUACAGCAGUAUAAACUUAGAGGUAAAUGAAUUCCAGUUAAACUUUUGCUGACAUUGCUAUUGUGUGGUAAAUUAAAUAUCUUAUUAUGAUAUGUAUUUUAGGCAAGUAAUUUGAAAUGUUUAUGUUUAGCUGUAGUCUAUUAUUCUAGAGCAGUUGUUCUUGACCAGGGAUGGUUUUGCCCUCCAGGGAACAUUUAGAAAUGUCUGGAGAUAUUUUUGAAUGUCAUGACUUGGAGGAUGUGAAUGACAUAUAGUAGAGGUCAGGGACACUGUUAAACAUCCUACAGUGUACUGGACAGCUUCCAUACAAAGAAUGAUAUGUCCCAAUCUUCAGUAGUGCCACUGUUAAGAAACCCUGGUCUACAGUGUACUAUUUUUGAACCUCACAUUUACUUUGGAGGUAAUGCUAUUUUCAAAAUAUGGUUUUGAUCAUUUUGAGAUAUUGUGUUUCUAAACUGAGACUCUGAACCACCAAUCACUGGGCAGUGAUUAAAGUCAAUGUGAUAUAAAGAGCUUUUAAUGCCCAGAAAAAGUAUCGGGCAAGUGGAGAGCACUUUUCUGUUGGUUUUCUCACUGUCUGUGCUUUGAAUAUAUUUUUAUUCAUUAAAAGAAGCUAAUGAAGUUCAAUAUAUUUUGAGAGAGUCUGCUGCAUAAUAUUUUAUCACUAAAUUAAAGCAAAGAAUCCAUGUUCUCACACAGAGCAAGAUGAAAUAUAGUACACUGAAGGAAAUGUCCAAUUAUCUUAACACAAAUGUUAGCAAUAAUGGGCCUUUUGUGUUUUAUUAUACCAAGUUGUUGCUAGCUCUACCUUAUUAAAAUUUUCAGUUCGAAAGACUGAAAGAUCAAAAAGAGAUAAAGAUAUAUUAAUAUUAAUCAUUAGCCAACCAACAAGUAUUUAUUAAGAUUCUAUUAUGAGCCUGGCAAUGUACUUCUUGGGAAUAUGGAAUCAUUAAAAUAUAUUAUUUGGGUUUUAUUGAGUUGACUAUAUGUGAGCUACUUGCAUAUAUUUAUCUGAUUUAAUUAUCACAAUUACUAUGAGGGGUAGGUCACAUUACUUUCAUUACAUGGAUGAGGAAACUGAGGCCCAGAGAGAUGACAUUCAAGAUCACUCAACUAGUAAGUGAUGGAACCAUGACUCAUGAAAACUCAGGUUACUUUGACUCCAGAGUUCAUUCUCUCAAAUACAACUCUACAUCCUCCUCAAGAAAGGCAUUUUCUUUGAGCUGGAGCCAAACCAAAGGAUGCGUAUGGGAUAUGUUCUGUGGUCCUCUAUUUGACCAGGUAGACUACUCUCCUCCUUUUCCUCCUCCUCCUUUUAUAGUACUGGGAAUUGAAUUCAGAGGCACUCUACCACUGAGCUAAAUCCCCAGCCCUUUUAAUUUUUCUUUUGAGACAGGGUCUCACUAAGUUGCAGGCUAGCCUCAAAUUUGCCAUUCUCUUGCCUCAACCUCUCAAGUAACUGGGAUUACAGGUGUGCACCACCAUGCCUGGCCAGGUGGUCUGUUUUUAAUUAGAGGAAUUAAGACAGGAGCAUGUGAAGCAAUACAAUAUCAUCUUCAGGAAUAUAUGAUGAUAAUAGAAUAUCUCAAGUCUUUGAUUUCUCAACACAUCUUUAAAAAAAUAGAGGGAGUUUUCCCAUUUUUCUACAUUUUUUAGAAUCAAGGUGGUCAAACUAGUAUAACCUCUGGAACAAUUCCAUUACCUCUUCAGAUCAUUUUUAUGUUGUCUUACAUUUAUGAACCAAAAAAGUGCUGAAUUCUGUAGGAAAAUAAAACACAGUUGUCUCUAUUCUAAAGGAUAUGGAAAAUGUCUGGGUCCUAUUAUGUUUCUCAAGGCAAGUACUUACAGACUACUCCAAUUCUGGGCCUUAUGUUGGUUAGUACUCUUCCGGUUUUGAGUAUCAUACCAAAAAAUUUUCAAAGGAAAAGAAGAGUUCUGUUUCCCUAGAGGUAAGCAGAAACUGCAUUCCCUGACAUUCUUGUACUGUGCAUUUCACAUUUUCUAGCAUCUCAUUCCUGGGUUGGUUUCUGCCACCUCUACUCCUAGCUUUUCCUGUCCAACUGCUAUUUAUUCUUUGAGUUUUCUGCACAAAGUGGUUCCUGGUUAUCUCAGGUCCAUCCUAGAAUAAUCAAGGGAAUAACUGCUUUUGAGUUCCAGCUGUACUACUUAUUGGCCACAUGGUCUAAGACAAGUCACUUUACUUCUUUGAGCCUCUUGUUUCCUUAUAGAAUAAGAAAAAAUAAUAGCACCUACUUUAUAAAAUCCAACUCAAUGUCCUCACACACACAAGCACUUAACCCAGAGUCAGACAUACAGAAAGUAUGUAGCAAAUAACAUAACAACUUUCUUCUCCUCCUCCUCCUCCUUCUCCUUCUCUCCUCCUCCUUCUCCUCCUCCUCCUCCUCCUCCUCCUCCUUCAUCGAAUACAGAUUUGCUCACCUUAUUCUCUGGAUUAUGUAUUUUCAUGGGCUUCUGGUUGUCUCCAUGAUCAAAUCCAAUCUUCUUAACUUGCCCCCAGCUACUGUGGCAAUCUUUUCUUCUAUAUGUUCUCUUUAAUGUUCCUUCAAUUCUCUGUUAUAGCCUUAAUACUUCAACCCAUCUGCCAUGGUUCACAGUUUUUUACAACUGUCAGGUUGUUUUAUUAUUAUUUAAGUCAAAUGGGUACUUUUCCCUCUGUCUGAAGUAGCUAUCUUCCAUCCUAAAAUGCUUCUGAACCUAGAUUUGUAGCAUCUUCUCUAUGAUGCCCUCUAUAAAUUUCUGCCAAUAAUUCAUUAAUUCAAUAAAUCUAUAUUGAAUAUCUUCUAGGUGUCAGGCACUGUCCUAGGGACUGGGACUCUGGAAGUAAACAAAAUUAUAAAGGGAUAAAAAUCUUAAUUCUUAUGAAGUUUGUGUCACAAUUUAAACAGUUCAAUUUAACAAAUAUAUGUUGUCCACCUACGAUAUGUCUGACACUUAUGUUAAACACUGAGAUACAAAACUGAAACCCUUAAUCCCUUGCCUCAAGGCUGUAUUGCAGUUUGGAGAAAGAAGAUCCCCUAAACAAAUCCUUUUCAUACAUUGAAGUGUGGAGUCUGAUAAAGAAAUAUCACCAUCAUUCUGAAAGAAUGGAGGAUGGAAUUGAGAGGAAGGCUGGAGGUAGAGAGAUAAGCUUGAAGACAGUUUUUCAGAUUAGAGAUGAAGAGUGGCUUAAGAUACAGUGACUAUGGAGUUGGACAGACAGAUGGAGGAGAUGAAUUCAAAAGGAAUUGGAAUUUGCAGGAUUUUGUGACUGAUAAGAUGUGGGUGCUAAAGAGAGAGGAUUUAAGGUCUUGGAAUUUAUUGCCCACUGUGGUUAUGGAAGGACUCCUUAAAGGAGAAACCUUAAUUGGGUGAGGGUACAAUUACUUUUCACAUAUGAGGAGCAGAGGAGGGACAGUUGGAUUUUACCCCUGCUUCUUGUUUAUGACUACAAUCUUCAGUGUGGUGAAAGUGAAUUAAAGAGUUUCCCCAAAGGCUUCUAGGCAUAUCAUCUUUGUUUUUGAAUGUCUGGAUAUCUAUAUGAACAUCAAUAAAGACAUGUAUGAUUCUAAUUAUAUAAAUUUU